CCUGGUGGUUAUCGCGGGGCGGCUGCACCCGUUCCCAUUCCGAACACGGCCGUGAAACGCCCCAGCGCCAAUGGUACUUCGUCUCAAGACGCGGGAGAGUAGGUCGCUGCCAGGUCUGCAAAACGCAACAUCAAAUCUUCUCACUCACAAAAUUCGGCCCAGCCGAUACAAAAGGGCCGCUCAUGCGGCCUUUUGUCGUUCAAGACCAGAAUAAUAAAAAGACGCCUCGUGCGUCCCUUAAAGGAGACAAAUCGCCUUCGGCAAUUUGCUCCGGCACCAAGCAUAACCGCAAUGCGGUUACGCUCUCGCGACAAGUUCUGCGAACUUG
rnacentral:rRNA from 1 species